AACCGGUAACCUAUUUAAUCUGGACGCUGAAAGCCAGUCGGUCUUUUCACAGACUGUGCUCUUACCAGAGGUUCAGGAGAUGGAGAGUCGUUCCGUGUAUAUAAUGCAAAACAACCUCAGCUGUCCAGUCAUCUCUAGCAAGGUGCUCUGUUCGGACCAUAUACCAUGUGGUGGACACCCGUAUGAGCCAGAUGGAGGAUGAUGGCCCUUGAAACUUCUGCAUAUCACAGUGAAAUCAUGGCUGACACCAGUCAGAGCUCUGACAAGAGGAUGGCUAGUGUGAAAGUCAUGAGUGAAAAUGCUCAAGGUUUAAGCUUGGAGCCGAAGCCAAAGAUGCAGCAGCUAGAACAGACAUGGAGCAUUCUUGGACAGAACUGAUACUUUGCAGGUAAACAAGACUGGAAAGACCUGAUGGAGGCUGGACCAAUGGAACAGUUCUCUCCCUUCAUAUAAUGCAUUGGAGCAGUAUGAAUCAGCAUGCUAUGUGCAGUGUGGACACUACUUUAAAGAAAUUGUUCAACAUUGAUCUCUGAAGCAUUUGUGAACUUAAGUUUAAACUUGUUAAACAAUGUUGAACCCUGUAAUUCAUGUUGUGAAAGUUACAAUAAACAGUUAAGGAAACUA